rnacentral:lncRNA from 1 species
AAACUUCUCGAAGGAGCUGGAGAGCAAAAUAUCUCAUUAUGAAUCUGUGUGCAUACAGAAAAAUGUUUUUUUCAUUACCCUACAAACAUGAGUUUUUAGUAUAUAUAUAUACCAGAUCCGAAAAUAAGAGACUCGGAUAAAUAAAAUGGGCCUAUGUACUAGUUGGGCCAAUGUAAAAUACGUACAGAUGAAUGAAUAAAAUAAUUAGCCCAUUCCACAAUGAUCCAUAGAGUCAACACCCCCCCUCAAGUUGGAGGGUGACAGAACUCCCAACUUGUUCAGAAGAGAAUGAUGAGCAGCACCAGGUAAAGUCGUAAUAAAGAUGUCAGCCAGCUGAGAAGCACUAGGAGUGUGACGGAGACUGAUCAGUCCAGCACUAAGCUUGGCACGAACAAAGUGGCAGUCCAAUUCGAUGUGUUUCGUGCGUUCAUGGAAGACCGGGUUCUUGGCAAUAUGAAUGGCGGACUGGCUAUCACAAAAAACAGGAACAGGUAGAGAGAUCUGGAUGCCAAAAUCAGAAAGAAGGCGCGAUAACCAUGUAAUCUCACCCACAGCUUUACUCAACAAGCGAUAUUCAGAUUCCGCAGAAGAAAGAGAAACUACAGGCUGCUUUUUGGACUUCCAGCUGAUCAAACUAUCACCAAGUAAGACACAAAAACCAGUUACAGAACGGUGACUGUCAAGGCAAGACGCCCAAUCACUAUCAGAAAAAACUCGAAGAGUUAGAUCAAGAGAGUCACUGGAAAACAAACCAAAACCAGGAGAACCUUUGAGGUAACGCAAAAGAUGUAAGGCAGCCUGCAUAUGUGGCACUCAAGGAUGCUGCAAGUACUGGCUUAAAUGCUGAACAGCAAAAGAGAGAUCUGGGCGAGUGUGGGUCAAAAAAUUCAAUUUUCCCACUAGACUGCGAUAAGACUCAGGCUGAGCCAAGGGAUCCCCCAUAUUAGCAAACAACUUCUUGUGAAGUUCCAAAGGACAAACCACAGGAGAAGCAACAUCACAAGCAUAAUCAGAUAGCAAAUCAGUAACAAACUUACUUUGAUGCAAAAGCACACCAGCAGCAGAGUAGGAAACCUCAAUUCCCAAGAAGUAAUGUAAUAAACCCAGAUCCUUGAUUUUGAACUGAUCAUGGAGAAACAACUUAAGAGCAGAGAUCUCCUUAAGGUCAGUACCAGUCAAAAUAAUAUCAUCAACGUAAACAGCCAAGAUAACCAGAGAAUCAACAGACCCCUUAGUAAAUAAGGAGUAAUCAUUAAGAGAAUGAGUGUAGCCCUUGGACUGAAGAGCAGAGGACAAUUUUGCAUACCAUUGACGAGAGGCCUGACGAAGCCCAUAAAGUGACUUAUUAAGCUUGCAGACCAUAGGGAUAGAAGAAGAAGCUAAAACAGUAAGACCAGGGGGCAACAUCAUAUAGACCUCUUCAUCCAAAUCCCCAUGUAGAAAAGCAUUGUUAACAUCAAGUUGGAAAAGAGACCAACGACGUUUAACAACAACGCCACAAGAGUCUUAAUGGUGGUCAUUUUGACCACAGGGGAAAAUGUUUCAUGAAAAUCAAUACCUUCAACUUGAGUGUCACCCCGGACCACUAAGCGAGCCUUAUAUCUUUCCAAAGAGCCAUCAGCCCUAUAUUUGAUUUUGUAGACCCACUUGCACCCAAUGGGCUUUUUACCAAAAGGGAGAGGAACAAUGGACCAUGUAUUAUUAGCCUCUAAAGUGUCAAAUUCCUGUCUCAUGGCAGAUUGCCAUUGAGGAAAUAGAGCAGCUUGAGAAUAACUACGAGGCUCAGAGACACAGGAUCCUGACCAAGAAUAGAAGCACAAGAAGAGGAGCAUGGAAUAAAGGAAGUAUGACAGACAUAGUCUUGAAGGUAACCAGGAGGGUGUGAAAUCCUGGAAGAUUUCUUGAGAGGAGGUACAUGUGCAGAGCAGCAGGAGGAAAAGUAGAAGCAACCGGGGAAGGUGCAUCAGGGGAAGAAUUAGGCAAAAUAGGAUCUUCAAAGUAAGAAAAAGUUAAAGGACACAUAGAAGGGGAUGAUGAAGAGAUGGAGAGAAAAGGAAAAAUAGAAUCGUGAAAAACUACAUCCCUAGAGACAAAACAAGACUUAGAAGUAGGUUAUAAAGUUUGUAACCUUUUUUAGCAAAUGGAUACCCUAAAAAUACACAAGGAAUGACACGCGGAGAAAGUUUAUCCCUAUAAGGGAUGGGAACUGUGGAGUAACAUAGGAAGCCAAAGGCUUUAAGAUGAGAAUAGGAAGGAACUUUCUUGUGAAGAAUCUCAAAAGGGCUCUUGUGGUGCAGUCUAGGAGGGGGGAACCUAUUAACAAGAUAGGUUGAUGUCAAUAGGCAAUCCCCCCAGAAUCUAAUGGGAAGGUGAGAUUUGAAAAGAAGAGCUCUAGCAGUUUCUAAAAGAAACUUAUGCUUCCUUUCAACAAUCCCAUUUUGUUGAGGAGUAUGAGGACAGGAAGUUUGGUGAAUAAUGCCUUUGGAAACAAAGAACUGAGACCCAGAUAAAGAAGAACCAAGCUCCAAAGCAUUAUCACUUCGAACAGUUUUAACUUGAGAAUGAAACUGAGUUUCUACUAAGGUAAUAAAAGCUUUGAGGAGAUCAAAAACAUUUCUUUUAGCACCCAUAAGAUGUGUCCAGGUGGCUCUAGAGUAAUCAUCAACAAUGGUAAGAAAAUACCUAAAACCAUCAUAGGUGGGGAAUGAUAAGGGCCCCAAGUAUCAAUGUGAAUAAGUUCAAAAGGAGAUGAGGAAGUAGAAGAACUAUCACUAAAAGGUAAUCGAGGUUGCCUAGCUAAGGGACAGAUGGGACAAGUGAAAGAUUGUUUAGAAGACAAACCAUUUGCAAUAUUAGGAAUGCAUUUCAUUUUAGAGAAAGGGGCAUGACCAAGUCUAUAGGGCCACAAAACAUCAGUUUUAUUGAUAGAACCAUCAGUAGUUACAGAAGGACAAGGUACAAACGAACUAGGAGCAAAAAAGGAAGUGGGAAUAACAAGGGAUACAUGAGAAUCACAAGCAGAAGUAAAGGAAAAAGGGAAAAAACAGGACCAGCUGAGGAAUCUGAUGACCGGAGAAAUUUGUAGAGACCACAAUCAAGCUUACCAAGCACCACUGGCUUCUUUAGAGAAGGGGCCUGUAAAGUGCAAGCAGACUUGGUGAAAUGUAAGGUAAAACCAGGUUGGUGAAGCAAUUUGGAUACAAAUAUCAGAUUAUACUGGAAACUAGGAAUGUAUAAGACAUUGUGUAGAACAAGGUCAGGAAAUAAAGCCAAAGAACCAGUAUUGGUGACUUUGAAUUUAUAUCCAUUGGGGAGGGAAACCGGAAAAGGAAUUGGGAGGGAUUGAACAUUAAACAAAAGAGAAAGGUCAGAAGUCAUAUGAUCAGAUGCUCCAGAGUUUAUAAUCCAUAAAGUGCUAUCUAUCCUGGUCAGCAAACAUGUAUGAGGCAGCUUACCAACAAAAUUAGCAGAAGCUAAAGAUGGGCAGGCUGUAGACAUGUCAGGAAACUGAGCUCUUUGCAAUAAAACAAGCAGCUUAGAAAAUUCCCCUUUGUUGAGACCAGGAAUGUCAGAAGGUUGAAGAAGUGUUGGGUCAGAAACAAAUGUCAUCAUUCCCAGGAGUGUUAACCUUUUGGCCAGAAUUAGCAAGCUCAACAUGAGCAACUGUUCUUUUAGAUGGUGGCUUAGAGAACUUAAAAUUUGGAGGAAAGCCAUGAAGUUUAUAACAUUUGUCAAUAGUAUGACCUGGUUUCUUACAAUAAUUGCAAACCAGAGAGGAAGGCUUUGCAGCUUUGAAAUGCGUUUUUGGAGUUGCAGAUGAUCUAGAAACUCCAGCCUGGAAAGAGGCAGAUUGCUGAGAGAAGGAAGAAGGCAGAGGAUACACUCCUCUGUUUCUCAUCAGCUAAGAGGAUACUAUAAGCAGUACCAAUGGAGGGAAGUGUCUUCAUCAUAAGAAUGUUGCUGCGCACUUGUAUGUAAGUAUCAUUGAGACCCAUCAGAAACUGGUAAACCUUUUGUUCAUCAUCAAAGGUCUUGAUACCACCACAAGUGCAUGUAGCAUUACUAUGAGCAGACAAGGAAGCAAGCUCAUCCCAGAGUUGUUUAAUUUUAUUAAAAUAAGAUGCAAUGUCUAAAGAACCUUGGAAAAUAUGAGCUAACUCCUUAUGAAUCUCGAAAAUGCGAACCCCAUCUGCUGUACCAUAUCUCUCUUCUAACUCAAGCCAAAUAUCCCUAGCAGAAGCAGAAAAUUCAACACUACAAGCAAUGUCCCUGGACAAAGAGUUAAGCAGCCAGGAAACUACAAGAUCAUUACAGCGCUGCCACUGCCGGGAUAAAGGGGAGGAGUCAGGGGGUUUAGACGACGAACCAUUUAUGAAAUCAAUCUUAUUUCUGACAGACAAUGCUACCAAAAUGGUCCUACGCCAACUACCAAAUCCAGUCCCAUCAAAAGGACAUGAGGCAAGAGAAGUACCCAACUCAUCAGAAGGAUGAACAUAUAAAGGGUGACAGGGGUGAGUAUAAUCCUCACUGUGAAAAAUAGCGCGACUACUAGCCGUGGAACCCGACGGAUCCACUGUUGUUGACAUAUUCACCCAUGCAAAACCAUAGAUACGAGAUGUAAUAGGAAGAAGAACAAGAUACAAUUACCAACACCGUCGCAACCGGAAGGAGACGAACUUGAGCAGUUACCAAUCGUCGCCGGACUUAGACUAGAACUAGAAAUAUUCCACCCAAACAUUUCAAGGAUAGUAUCGGAAGAAAAAACGAAUCAGAUGCCCCAAAAAUCAGAAAAAAAACCAACAAACACCAACCGUCGCCGGUCGUCGAAAAAAAAUGUCACCGAAACACCUCGAGGGUAGUAUCGGAAGAAAUCUAGGGAGCAGAUCUAAAAGGAUUGACGCUCUGAUACCAUGUUAGAAGCUGGAAUCUACCAGUUCGAAGGGAAGAUGUUCGAAGAGAGGCGAAACUUCUCGAAGGAGCUGGAGAGCAAAAUACCUCAUUAUGAAUCUGUGUGCAUACAGAAAAAUGUUUUUUUCAUUACCCUGCAAACAUGGGUUUUUAGUAUAUAUAUACAAGAUCCGAAAAUAAGAGACUCGGAUAAAUAAAAUGGGCCUAUGUACUAGUUGGGCCAAUGUAAAAUAUGUACAGAUGAAUGAAUAAAAUAAUUAGCCCAC